AGGCGGUGCUAAUACAUGCAAGUCGAGCGGACAGAAGGGAGCUUGCUCCCGGAUGUUAGCGGCGGACGGGUGAGUAACACGUGGGUAACCUGCCUGUAAGACUGGGAUAACUCCGGGAAACCGGAGCUAAUACCGGAUAGUUCCUUGAACCGCAUGGUUCAAGGAUGAAAGACGGUUUCGGCUGUCACUUACAGAUGGACCCGCGGCGCAUUAGCUAGUUGGUGAGGUAACGGCUCACCAAGGCGACGAUGCGUAGCCGACCUGAGAGGGUGAUCGGCCACACUGGGACUGAGACACGGCCCAGACUCCUACGGGAGGCAGCAGUAGGGAAUCUUCCGCAAUGGACGAAAGUCUGACGGAGCAACGCCGCGUGAGUGAUGAAGGUUUUCGGAUCGUAAAGCUCUGUUGUUAGGGAAGAACAAGUGCAAGAGUAACUGCUUGCACCUUGACGGUACCUAACCAGAAAGCCACGGCUAACUACGUGCCAGCAGCCGCGGUAAUACGUAGGUGGCAAGCGUUGUCCGGAAUUAUUGGGCGUAAAGGGCUCGCAGGCGGUUUCUUAAGUCUGAUGUGAAAGCCCCCGGCUCAACCGGGGAGGGUCAUUGGAAACUGGGAAACUUGAGUGCAGAAGAGGAGAGUGGAAUUCCACGUGUAGCGGUGAAAUGCGUAGAGAUGUGGAGGAACACCAGUGGCGAAGGCGACUCUCUGGUCUGUAACUGACGCUGAGGAGCGAAAGCGUGGGGAGCGAACAGGAUUAGAUACCCUGGUAGUCCACGCCGUAAACGAUGAGUGCUAAGUGUUAGGGGGUUUCCGCCCCUUAGUGCUGCAGCUAACGCAUUAAGCACUCCGCCUGGGGAGUACGGUCGCAAGACUGAGACUCAAAGGAAUUGACGGGGGCCCGCACAGGCGGUGGAGCAUGUGGUUUAAUUCGAAGCAACGCGAAGAACCUUACCAGGUCUUGACAUCCUCUGACAACCCUAGAGAUAGGGCUUUCCCUUCGGGGACAGAGUGACAGGUGGUGCAUGGUUGUCGUCAGCUCGUGUCGUGAGAUGUUGGGUUAAGUCCCGCAACGAGCGCAACCCUUGAUCUUAGUUGCCAGCAUUCAGUUGGGCACUCUAAGGUGACUGCCGGUGACAAACCGGAGGAAGGUGGGGAUGACGUCAAAUCAUCAUGCCCCUUAUGACCUGGGCUACACACGUGCUACAAUGGACAGAACAAAGGGCUGCGAGACCGCAAGGUUUAGCCAAUCCCACAAAUCUGUUCUCAGUUCGGAUCGCAGUCUGCAACUCGACUGCGUGAAGCUGGAAUCGCUAGUAAUCGCGGAUCAGCAUGCCGCGGUGAAUACGUUCCCGGGCCUUGUACACACCGCCCGUCACACCACGAGAGUUUGCAACACCCGAAGUCGGUGAGGUAACCUUUAUGGAGCCAGCCGCCGAAGGGGGCAGAGGGG
rnacentral:rRNA from 1 species